CUCGCUUAAGAUUGAUGUAAUAAUAAUAAUCAUCAUCUACUGGAGCUGAUAUGCUUAAUCCAUUUCUGCUGCAGCUCUCUGCCCCCCUAACGAUUAUAUCUAGUACUAUCCCCAAGGUUUGGAAGGAGGCCCAGGUACUCCCCCUAACGAUUAUAUCUAGUACUAUCCCCAAGGUUUGGAAGGAGGCCCAGGUACUCCCCCUAAUGAUUAUAUCUAGUCCUAUCCCCAAGGUUUGGAAGGAGGCCCAGGUACUCCCCUAAUGAUUAUAUCUAGUACUAUCCCCAAGGUUUGGAAGGAGGCCCAGGUACUCCCCUAACCUGACGAUUAUAUCUAGUACUAUCCCCAAGGUUUG
ensembl:lncRNA